rnacentral:rRNA from 1 species
CUUCUCCGCCGGCGACCGGCGCACGGGUGAGUAACACGUAUGCAACCUAGCCCCUCGUCAGGGGGGACAACCCGCCGAAAGGCGGGCUAAACCCGCGUACAUGCCACCGGGGCAUCCCGGAGGCAGGAAAGGCUUCGGCCGGACAGGGAUGGGCAUGCGGCGCAUUAGGCAGUAGGCGGGGUAACGGCCCACCUAACCGACGAUGCGUAGGGGUUCUGAGAGGAAGGUCCCCCACACUGGUACUGAGACACGGACCAGACUCCUACGGAAGGCAGCAG